rnacentral:piRNA from 1 species
UGACCAGAGCUUGGAAUGUUUACAAUAUC